UCCUACGGGAGGCAGCAGUGGGGAAUCUUGGACAAUGGGCGCAAGCCUGAUCCAGCCAUGCCGCGUGAGUGAUGAAGGCCCUAGGGUCGUAAAGCUCUUUCGCCAGGGAUGAUAAUGACAGUACCUGGUAAAGAAACCCCGGCUAACUCCGUGCCAGCAGCCGCGGUAAUACGGAGGGGGUUAGCGUUGUUCGGAAUUACUGGGCGUAAAGCGCACGUAGGCGGAUCAGAAAGUUGGGGGUGAAAUCCCGGGGCUCAACCCCGGAACUGCCUCCAAAACUCCUGGUCUUGAGUUCGAGAGAGGUGAGUGGAAUUCCGAGUGUAGAGGUGAAAUUCGUAGAUAUUCGGAGGAACACCAGUGGCGAAGGCGGCUCACUGGCUCGAUACUGACGCUGAGGUGCGAAAGUGUGGGGAGCAAACAGGAUUAGAUACCCUGGUAGUCCACACCGUAAACGAUGAAUGCCAGUCGUCGGGUAGCAUGCUAUUCGGUGACACACCUAACGGAUUAAGCAUUCCGCCUGGGGAGUACGGUCGCAAGAUUAAAACUCAAAGGAAUUGACGGA
rnacentral:rRNA from 1 species